UACGGGGGGGGCAAGCGUUGUUCGGAAUUACUGGGCGUAAAGGGCGCGUAGGCGGCCUUCUAAGUCAGACGUGAAAUCCCUCGGCUCAACCGAGGAACUGCGUCUGAUACUGGAAGGCUUGAAUCCGGGAGAGGGAUGUGGAAUUCCAGGUGUAGCGGUGAAAUGCGUAGAUAUCUGGAGGAACGCCGGUGGCGAAGGCGGCAUCCUGGACCGGUAUUGACGCUGAGGCGCGAAAGCUAGGGGAGCAAACGGG
rnacentral:rRNA from 1 species